rnacentral:rRNA from 1 species
AUUGCACGCUGGCGGCAGGCCUAACACAUGCAAGUCGAACGAGUGGCGGACGGGUGAGUAAUGUCUGGGAAACUGCCUGAUGGAGGGGGAUAACUACUGGAAACGGUAGCUAAUACCGCAUACCAUCAAAUGUGCCCAGAUGGGAUUAGCUAGUUGGUGGGGUAACGGCUCACCAAGGCGACGCUCCCUAGCUGGUCUGAGAGGAUGACCAGCCACUCUGUACCUGAGACACGGUCCAGACUCCUACGGGCGUCAGCAGUGUGGAAUAUGGCACAAUGGGCGCAAGCCUGAUGCAGCCAUGCCGCGUGUAUGAAGAGGGCCUUCGGGUUGUAAAGUACUUGCAGCGGGGAGGCGUUACCCGCAGAAGAAGCACCGGCUAACUCCGUGCCAGCAGCCGCGGUAAUAC